UUACGGCCAUAUCACGUUGAAACACCGGUUCACGUAUAAUCAAUGAAGUUAAGCAACGUCAAGCCUUGUCAGUACUAAGAUAGAUGAUCGCUUGUGAACAUCAGGUGCCGUA